CCGACGAGUUCCGGGUUCGAAUCCCAGGCGACCC
rnacentral:tRNA from 1 species